rnacentral:tRNA from 1 species
GAAAAAGUAUGCAAGAACUGCUAAUUCUAUACCCCCGUGCCUAACAGCACGGCUUUUUCG